UGGUUCGCUCAGGAGCAUGUGCACGCUUGUCACCUUUAUAUCUCCACCUGUGCACUUUUUGUAGACCUGGAUAUAUUUCUGAAUACUAGUCAACUCAGGUUUGGGAUUGGCUUUAUGCCUCUUCUUACAUCUCCAGGCCUAUGUUUCCUCAUAUACCCAAUUGCAUGUUAUAGAGUGUAAUCAAAUGGCCUUCGUGUCUAUAAAAACCUAUACAACUUUCAGCAACGGAUCUCUUGGCUCUCGCAUCGAUGAAGAACGCAGCGAAAUGCGAUAAGUAAUGUGAAUUGCAGAAUUCAGUGAAUCAUCGAAUCUUUGAACGCACCUUGCGCUCCUUGGUACUCCGAGGAGCAUGCCUGUUUGAGUGUCAUUAAUAUAUAUCAACCUCUUCAGUUUGUUGAGUUUUGGAUGUGGGGGUUCUUUUUUGCUGGUCCUUCUAAGGUCAGCUCCCCUGAAAUGUAUUAGUUGAACAGUUGUAGACCGUCCAAUUGGUGUGAUAACUAUCUACGCUAUUGACGGGAAGCAG
rnacentral:rRNA from 1 species